rnacentral:rRNA from 1 species
GUAGGGUGCGAGCGUUGUCCGGAAUUAUUGGGCGUAAAGAGCUUGUAGGCGGUUUGUCGCGUCUGCUGUGAAAAUCCGGGGCUCAACCCCGGACUUGCAGUGGGUACGGGCAGACUGGAGUGUGGUAGGGGAGACUGGAAUUCCUGGUGUAGCGGUGGAAUGCGCAGAUAUCAGGAGGAACACCGAUGGCGAAGGCAGGUCUCUGGGCCACUACUGACGCUGAGAAGCGAAAGCAUGGGGAGCGAACAGGAUUAGAUACCCUGGUAGUCCAUGCCGUAAACGUUGGGCGCUAGGUGUGGGGCUCAUUCCACGAGUUCCGUGCCGCAGCUAACGCAUUAAGCGCCCCGCCUGGGGAGUACGGCCGCAAGGCUAAA